AUGGGGAACUGCUUCGGCUCCGAGGAGGACGAAGUGGAGGCCGUCAAGCAGGCGCCGGGCCACCGCGAGCACGGCCAUGGGCGCCCCCAAGCAGCGAUUGCAAGCCGCGGUCCUCCUCCCAUGGCGGCGCCCAAGGCCCACGCCGCCGUGGGGGCCAGGAGGUCCCCGGGCUCGUCGUCCAUGAGCAGCGUCACCACCCGAAGCACCAGCGCCAGCACGUCGGCGGGCGGCGGCGUGCCCGAGGGGGCGGAGCCGGAGGGCAGGAUCCUGGAGGCGCCCAACCUGCGCAUCUUCACGUUCGCGGAGCUCCGGGCGGCGACGAGGAACUUCAAGCCGGACACGCUGCUGGGCGAGGGCGGGUUCGGGCAGGUGUACAAGGGGUGGGUCGACGAGAAGACCAUGAACCCGGCGCGCAGCGGCACCGGCAUGGCCAUCGCCGUCAAGAAGCUCAACCAGGAGAGCCUGCAGGGCCUCGAAGAAUGGCAGUGCGAGGUGAACUUUCUGGGGAGGAUAUCGCACCCGAACCUGGUGAGGCUGCUGGGGUACUGCCUGGAGGACAGGGAGCUGCUGCUCGUCUACGAGUUCAUGGCCAAGGGCAGCCUGGAGAACCACCUCUUCAGAAAAGGCGGAUCUGUCCAGCCCAUCCCAUGGGGCCUGCGGCUGCGGAUCGCCAUCGACGCCGCGCGCGGCCUCGCCUUCCUGCACUCGUCGGAGAAGCACGUCAUCUACCGAGACUUCAAGGCUUCAAACAUCCUCCUCGACACGAACUACAACGCCAAGCUGUCCGACUUCGGCCUGGCGAGGAACGGCCCCACCGGCGGCGACAGCCACAUCACCACCCGCGUGAUGGGCACCUACGGCUACGCGGCGCCGGAGUACGUGGCGACGGGCCACCUGUACGUGAAGAGCGACGUGUACGGGUUCGGCGUGGUGCUGCUGGAGAUGCUGACGGGCCUGCGGGCGCUCGACACGGCCCGGCCCGCGCAGCAGCUGAACCUGGUGGACUGGGCCAAGCCGUACCUGGCGGACCGGCGGAAGCUGCCCCGCCUCGUGGACCCGCGGCUGGAGGGGCAGUACCCGUCCAAGGCCGCGCUGCGGGCCGCGCAGCUCACGCUGAGCUGCCUCGCGGGCGAGCCCAGGAACCGGCCCUCCAUGGCCGAGGUCGUCGCCGCCCUGGAGGAGAUCGAGCGGAUGCGGCCGCGGCACCGGCGCGCGUCGCCGGAGGAGGACAGGGAGAGCGGCAGCGGAGCGUCGUCUCGGAGCGCAGCAGGGCGGAGCGAGCGCCACGGGCACCGGCACCAGCAGCAGUCGCCGGGGCCGAGGUCCGGGUCGGACGGCGCGCGGGGCGGCCACCCGUCUCCUCGGGUGAGGUGA
rnacentral:rRNA from 1 species